rnacentral:tRNA from 1 species
GUUUACCGUAGCUUAAGCCCCGUAACAAAAAGCGCGACACUGAAGUUGCCGUGAUGGAAUAGCAUUUCCCGGAAACA